AAUUUUGUCGUUUGCAAUCAUACGUCAUUUUUUACGUCACGGAAACAGAAGAUGUUGAAUCAUUCGCAGAUAUUCGAUUUGAGGCUAAAGACAGGUCACAUAAACUAACCCAGUGAAUAGCAGGGAUAUGUCUCUCUAAACUGUUAUGCAGUUAAAAUGGCUACCAAUAUUUGGUCGGUCAGGAAGUCGUAAGACAUAAGUAAUGAAUUUUCAAGAUCCAGACAUUCUUCUUGAGUUCAUAGAGAGUUCUACACUGCAGCUGGUAUAAAAGUGACAAAUCAUGAAAGAACCCAGUCCACACAUGAGUUGCUAAGGUCAGUGCAUUGAUAAGAAGGAAGUUGAAGUUAGAUCGGCAUAGAGAUGGCUAGUUUUCUAGACUUCUUAAAAUUGCUGUUGGUUUUUAACAAUCAACAGCACUUGUAACAAUUAUCCCUGGAUGGCCUGUGCAAUUAUUUGUACAGGCAAUUCACUCUACCAGGAAAGAGUCCUGUGGACAUAAGGAGGAAAAAGAUGACGGUAGCACUUAGGGCAUUCUUAACAAUGAAAAAGUUUACCGAAUGUUAGAAGUUCUGGCCAGAGUUUAAAGUUCUAUGCGUCAAUAAAAGAGACAAUAGACCGAACAUCUAAGGGGCUUCUGCUGGAAAAAGAAGAAAGAAGAAUCAAGGGUUACCAAGAGGAACAAGGAAGAGAGAAAUGAAUUGUAACAUGGCAAUGAAGAAUAACUCCUGAGAAC
rnacentral:sRNA from 1 species